AUUAGGUGAAAUUUGGUCAACGAAUUUUAGAAUUUGGUGAAUCCUAGUUUAAAAGUUAUUAACAAUUUAAGGUUUGGCGUAUAGUUAGCAAACGAUAGUAACAAAAAUAGGGUUUUUUGGUAUCAAUCGAUCGGAAAUCGCUUUGUGAAAUUUGGUUAAUCAAUUUUAGAAUUUGGUGAAUCAUAGUUUAAUAAAUAAUUAACAAAAUGUGAAAAAAAUGACAGUUCUAUAAACAAUUACAAUUUACACACAUAUUUAACGUUACGCGACGUAAUGUUAUGUAACGUAGUAAAAUCUGUCAUACACGUACACAAAACCAACACACAUGAAACAAAAUCUGUCCCAAACAACGUCAAAAUUUUUGACAGCCCAUAAUUUAUUUCACAUUUUUUCCCGCGUUUCUUUCUAUUUAAACAAACAAAAAAAAGAAAAGUUCUCGACAAACUUUUAUGUACAUCCUAAAUAUAUAUAUAUAUAUCCCGGUCUGUAAUUUUCUAAAAAUAUUUUUUGUUAAUUAUUUAUUGUCCUUUUAUGUGAAGUGCUAAAACCUACGGAACUUAUCCAUCGUUGGUUGUGUUAAAUGCAUUAAGGUGCUUCAGAAAAAAAGAGUCCAAUAGACUUAUGUUUGUAAGCCGCCAUCAUCAGUUUUUCUUUUUAUUUAUAAACAAAUCUUAAGCAUUUUCUUAAGGGACAAACAAAAAAGGAAGAAGAUUUUAAAUGAUGGCCAACAGAAUCAUUCAAUUAUACAUAUGUGCAAGCUAUCCUAGACUUUAUGCUGCAAAGAAUGAGUGUAGUAUUGCGACAAGGUUUAUGAGCGUAUCAAGAAGAUCCCAGGCUAAAGGAGAUUAAUAUGAAAGUGCAACGAAUCGAAAAAUCAACAACGUGCUUAGUCUUAACACUAAUCAAGCAAUUUGAUGAUCAAAAUACACUCCGUCAGAUGCUCUACAUCGCUGACAAUGUACCUAAUUUCCAUAUGUUGUUCAAGAUGCGCCCCUCUGAUCUGAUUUAUAAAAUCUAGUAGCCACAUUCAAAGAAUGUCAAACCUGCUGAAAAUGCAGACGAUAUUCUUGAAGACCAUGAGGAAAAUCCACAUGUUUUCUUUAAACGUUUACCCGAGGUUAUUGGCGACAUUUGGAAACGUAUAACGUCAGUGUGGGCGUGUAUACUGAAACAGUAUUUGAAAGAUAUGUACGCCCUACAGGCUAAGAAGACGGUAAAAUAUCAAAUAACACAAACAUUUUACAAAAAAUUGUUACGACGAAAACAGUGCCCAAUUUCAAUUGCAGAAAUUAAGGAAUUGGUCAUAAAAUCAAGUGAUGUCUGUUUAAAUCCAGAAGAUGAGAAAGAUUUAUUUAUAUUUUAAACAACUUAUAAAUAAGUUUGAUCCAGAUGAUGCAUAUCUGCUCUUGAUAAAGAAAAAAAAUAAACAUGAUCAAGCUAGUGAGAGUAGUAUAGGAGCAAGAGCGGGCAGUGCGACAACGCCACAUGUAAAUAGUGUUAAUCAUACGAUGGUUUCAAGACCAUCCCAAGGCAAGGUUAGUCAAAGAAUGUUGUCUUUGUGAUUUGCUUUCACAAGUUAUUUUUUUUAUCGAUAGAAUGCAACAAAAAAUUCUUUCCUAUUUUCUAUUCCUUCUGACUUGUGCCGUGCAGCAUGCAUUUAAAAGUUAUAAAGGUCCUACAAGCAUAUAGUCAAAAUUAUUAUUGUUAAUGCUCCUGGAGUCAGGUGCUUCUAUUAAUAAAGUACCUACAAAAAUUUAAUAUUAUUUUCAAAUGCAAAGUUUUCAACAUUUUAAUUCUUAUAUUUGACAAAAAUGUUUGUCAGAUCUAUGCUUAAACUAAUCAAAAUUGCACCUCCUUGCUAGCAUGCCUUCAUUACACGGCCAGUAAAACCCAGAUUCGUGAAAACAGUCAAAUAAUUAUGUUCUUUGUUCUGACAAUUUUGUUACAUAUGUAUUAUGUUUCUCUUGAAACUGUUCUGCUGUGUUAUAAUUUUUUUAGCGUGUCUAAUGCAAAAUUCUGCCAAUUACUUGUGUAUAUGUAUGUCUGUCUUCAAAUGGGUAGGAUUUUGCUAUCGGGUUUCAACUACCUUUUUUGUGAUCUACAAGUUUCAUCAGACAGAAUCGGAUAACAAUGUUUUCUUGUGUGAAUAUUAUUUUUUUUUUGUUUAUAUGGAAUCUUGCAAUCUAUUUUAAAGUAUAGCACUACCACAAAAUUUGUUAACCAAAAUGUAGGCUUACAUGUACGAUGUACCUACCUAAACCCAAAUAUACAAUUAUUGUCUUUGGAAUCGAUAUCUUAAGAUAUAAAAAAUAGUAAACAAAAACAAUACCGUCCCAUUGUAGCACUUUGCUUUUAUUUACCCCUAAAAAAUGUUAUA